GCCUGAGUGGCUCAGUGGUUGAGCAUCGGCCUUUGGCUCAGGGCAUGAUCCCGAGGUUCUGGGAUCGAGUCCCUCAUCAGGCU
rnacentral:tRNA from 1 species